rnacentral:rRNA from 1 species
UGGGGAAUAUUGGACAAUGGGGGCAACCCUGAUCCAGCCAUGCCGCGUGUGUGAAGAAGGCCUUUUGGUUGUAAAGCACUUUAAGCAGUGAAGAAGACUCCAUGGUUAAUACCCAUGGACGAUGACAUUAGCUGCAGAAUAAGCACCGGCUAACUCUGUGCCAGCAGCCGCGGUAAUACAGAGGGUGCAAGCGUUAAUCGGAAUUACUGGGCGUAAAGCGAGCGUAGGGGGCUUGAUAAGUCAGAUGUGAAAGCCCCGGGCUUAACCUGGGAACGGCAUCUGAUACUGUGAGGCUAGAGUAGGUGAGAGGAAGGUAGAAUUCCAGGUGUAGCGGUGAAAUGCGUAGAGAUCUGGAGGAAUACCGAUGGCGAAGGCAGCCUUCUGGCAUCAUACUGACACUGAGGUUCGAAAGCGUGGGUAGCAAACA